AGAGUUUGACUCCUGGCUCGAGGACGAACGCUGGCGGCGUGCUUAACACAUGCAAGUCGAACGGGGACUUCGGUCCUAGUGGCGAACGGGUGAGUAAAGCGCAAAUAACCUGCCUUUAAGAUGGGGACAACAACUCGAAAGGGUUGCUAAUACCGAAUGUUGCGUAGUAGUCGCAUGAGUAUUACGUUAAAGAUUUAUCGCUUAAAGAGGGGUUUGCGUCCGAUUAGAUAGUUGGUGGGGUAAAGGCUUACCAAGUCGACGAUCGGUAACCGGUCUGAGAGGAUGAACGGUCACAUUGGAACUGAGAGACGGUCCAGACUCC
rnacentral:rRNA from 1 species